UGUGGACCAUUUAUCUGCAGUAGCCACUCCAGCUCUUCUCUGAGCAAUGUAAUUCCUCAUGGACAUUCGAAAGCACUGGAAUGCUUUGUCCCAGCUUCUUUGUUUUCUGAGCCUGUCCCUCCUGUUGUCCAUAGGAGUGGUCUCCUGGAACAUUUAAGUGCUGUGAUGUUGCAACCUGAGCUUCUGCCCUAAUACCCUGGUCGCUCAGAAUUAGACACUGCAGUAAACUUCUGUGCAGCACAAAAUCAUCUUAAUUUAGGUAGAAUCCUGGUUGCAAAGUUCCUCACACAGGACAUCAAUUCUCUUGAUUCGUACGUUUACACGGCAAAUCCCAGAGGACUCACCCGCAAUUUAUUCAGUGGAGCUGGACAAGUAACUUACGGCCCUGUUCCCCAAGAUGCCUCAUUUACCCCCUCCCAGAAUUUGCAACUUCAGCUCUGCUGAUUGGCAGUGUGUAGUCCAGCUGGGGAGGAGAAGGGGAGAACCACUCAGGGUGAGCUAACCAUGAAACUCUCCGUGACAUUAACUGGGUCCAUGGGAGACUGCUACAGAGGACUUGGACUUUGAGUCUUAGGAAGGGGUAGAGUGAACCACUUCCCAGUGUCCACCUGACCCCAUGCAGGACAACAAGGCAUGGUGUCAUUGCCUGUGCCCACCUUUUCUACCUGGCCAACGGAGCUGGUGCUGUAGAGCCUGGUGUGCCUGGCUCAAGGGAGCACUGAGCUUGGGUAGAGCUGGAGAAGCCCUGAAUGGUGUCGAUGCUGAGCUACAAGCGCUGCAGUCACUGGUGAGCCCUCCCAGGCUGCUUCUGGGGACACCCUUCUGUGAUAAGUGUUGCUGCUGAAACUAUGUGCCCACAAAAACAAGGUAAGUGGGAAGGACAUGACAGUAGUUUUCUGAAUGGAAAUGGGGGAAAGGAACAGCCGUGUUUCUCUUCUAAGGCACUGUUUCACUUUUAUUUGCUGCAUUCAGCUCCUGUAUAGAGAUGUUGACAAUACUCAUGACACUUGUGAUUAAUUAUUGAUACAACACUUAAGAGGCUGAGUUGAGAGCUCUGUCCAGGGAACAAACACAGAAGAGAAAGGUGGAACAAGCACUGGGCAGAAGGAGAAAGCAGCAAGACAGCUUUGCUUAAUUGAUAACUCUCAACUAUUGUUUAUGGAUUUUCACAGGUACUUCACAGAGCAAAGCUCUAAAGAGAAAUCAGGAGGAGAAUGAUAACCUGUGAAUAAAGCAUUGAAAAGGGAGAACGAUGCUUAGCCAGUGGAACAGAUGGAGAUGUGGAAAAUGCUUGUUUCCUUUUCUCAAGUAUGUCUCCUAAAAGGGAACCCUAUUGCAGGUUGAUAGAGUCAGACAUUUUAGAGUUCAUACAGGAAAACUGCCUCUGCAGCCGUGGACAUGUCUGCAAAAAGAUCCUGCAAGGUUGGCUGGGCUGCUUUUAAAGGUUUGGACUUCAAUUUUGUACUUUGUGAAAAUCAUGAAGUUGAAUGAAGCCAAAAUUCACAGAUGGGAGUGAAAAUGACAGCAGUCUGUUCUUUGGGGAGGAUUACUCUGUCAUGCAGGACACAAUAGAGACUUCUUCUUUUACUACUUUAACAAGUUUUGCUUCAUGCUGGCAUUCCUGCUUCAGAAAGGGACUGUCAUGGGAAACAGAUUCUGCCCGGAGACCAGACAUUGUUCAGGAUAUCCCUUCCACCUCCGCGUGCUAUUCAGCAUUAAAAACCCUGAGACUAUUGAAAUUUCUUUCUUCGUCCGCCCCUUUCUCUUUGACAAAUGUGUGACAAGGAUGCAAUUGUUUGAGAGCCCAGUGAUGGAGAAAACAGAGCGCGAAGCCUUCAGACGUGCCUCAGUAAUUUAGAAUCCUGCCCCCAAGACUUGUGAAAAAGGUCACCAGAGGUCUUCCACAGGGUUCAGCUUCCCAGCAGGUCUCUGGAUACCAAUGUAAAGGCACUUAAAUGCCUCUAACAGCUGACCCUUUUGCGGAUGUUUCCACCUAGGAUUAUCCUGGCUCUUGGGCUUAAGAAUAGCCCUUAGCCAACUAAUGGAUCACGGGCUCUUCUCUUUGAAUAUCUGCAGUCUGUGUUGGGCAAUCACACAGCCAGCCAGCAGGAAGUUGUUUAUUCAUUAAAAUUACUAAAGCUUUUGAAAGAUGAAGAUAAGGGCUCUUCUGAUGAAUCACUGCAGGGCUGCAUUUGGGGAACAGUAUUUCUUGUUACCCAGAAGUUACUCAGCAGCCGGCUGGUAAUGGAGCAUGAACACAGCAAGGACGCUCAGGCGUUGAUCAGUGAAUACGUUCCCCUGUCAAAGUGCAGCCCAGCCCCAAAGCCAGGCCUUUUUUCCUGCAGCUGCUAGGUCACAUUGUGCUCGAUGUGCACGCUGGACCUUUGGCCCUUCUAGUGUGAGCAGACGUGCACAAGCCAGCCUCUGGGGAGCACUGGGAGCACAUCUCAAGAGGAAAUGCACAGUACUGUGCCACAUGGACACCAUGCCUCCCUCUCCUGAGGGCACUUCUGCUCUGCCUCCUAAACACAGAGCACUCUGUCUCCUGAUGUCAGCUCUUAGGGAGCUGGGUUCUCCAUGCCAACCCCUUCUCUGCCUGAGGGGUCACUCCUCCUCCCUCUACAGACCAUCUCCGGCUCCUACAGGCCACAUGCUUGCCCUAUGAUUGGGAUGGUAUGGGCAGGAGGUGUCUGAGCCCUUUCUGCUGUUAUUUAAAGAUCAGCAGGGCAGAAAGAGGGACCGAGGGUCAGCAUCACUUGUGCUCCUGCUCGGAGGAGUGCUCACAUAUUUUACGCGUUGGCUAUUCCAUGUAACAGCCCUCCAGAAGCUCAUGGAGCAGGACAGGCACAAUGGACCGCUUCCACCAGGCGACCUUCUUAGAGUCCUGUGCUAUUUCGGGUGGCGUCUGAAGCUCCUCCAGGCCUGGAGCUGCAGGUAGCACAGCCUGUGGUGGCAUGGCCUGCCUCUUGCUCUUCUGUAGUGGACACUUGUACUGCUCAUGAAGAUGAUGCUGGCCCAUCCAGGCGAGUCACUGAUGUACACCCGCCAGCCCCAUAAGGGACAUGACACCUCCCAGCAGUGCCACCACUGUCAGUGAGUGCACAGAGCAGUGCUGGCUGCUGUCCCCAUGCCUGCUUACUGCCAAGAGCUGAACAUGUUGCUGGGCUCAUCCUUGUGCAUAGUGGUGUGUAUUCCUGAUACUGCUGCUGAUCAGGUCACUCGCCUGUGCCCUGGAUCCACUUGGACCCCGGGGGCCAUGGAACCUGCCAUCCAUCCAUCCUACCUACAGUUCACACAUGGGGCCAGGAGCCCUGGGAGCCCGAGUGUCUGUCUUCUGGUCCUUGUUCCUGCAGGGUGGACAGGGCUGGGGGCUGCAGGUACCAGCCAGCCCCAAGCUUGCUCUGAGCACUAGGAGCAGAAGGUCUUUCCCAGCUCAGUUCUAGUUCAGUGAGCAGUGGUAACUUGCUCUCCAUCUGCCUAAGGACUGCCGUGAAUGGUAGUAUAAAUACACCCCAGGAGAAGUGACAUGCCCAUGAGCUUCAAGUGCCUCCAUCACUGGGCCAAGAGCAGUGUUUGGGCAGCAGACUUAGAUCCCAAGUCCUUUCAUAAAUGUUUGCAUCAAGCCUCCUAC